AAUAGAUACCCAGGUAGUCCACGCCGUAAACGAUGGAUACUAGCUGUUCGUCCGCCUCGGCGGAUGAGUGGCUAAGCGAAAGUGAUAAGUAUCCCACCUGGGGAGUACGAACGCAAGUUUGAAACUCAAAGGAAUUGACGGGGGCCCGCACAAGCGGUGGAGCAUGUGGUUUAAUUCGAUGAUACGCGAGGAACCUUACCAAGGCUUAAAUGUAGAUUGACAGGACAGGAAACAGUUUUUCUUCGGACAAUUUACAAGGUGCUGCAUGGUUGUCGUCAGCUCGUGCCGUGAGGUGUCAGGUUAAGUCCUAUAACGAGCGCAACCCCUGUUGUUAGUUGCCAGCGAGUCAAGUCGGGAACUCUAACAAGACUGCCAGUGUAAACUGUGAGGAAGGUGGGGAUGACGUCAAAUCAUCACGGCCCUUACGCCUUGGGCUACACACGUGCUACAAUGGCCGGUACAGAGAGCAGCCACUGCGCGAGCAGGAGCGAAUCUAUAAAACCGGGUCACAGUUCGGAUCGGAGUCUGCAAC
rnacentral:rRNA from 1 species